rnacentral:lncRNA from 10 species
UGACGAUACAUCAGAAGGAGGAUCAUCUGCUUUGGGUGAUCCUGGAUCAUGGAACCAUGACAUAGUCAAUGGCUGGAUGUCAGGAGUAAAUGGUACAGAUGACUAACAACAUCUUGACUAAAGGAACUGAACCCUCGGACCAGAAUACUUAUGGUAAGGAAAAACCCCAGGGAAGCGGGGAGAAGGAGAAACAAGACUAGAACUUUCUUAGUCUAUCUAAGAACACUUUUGAAAGGACAAGAAAACGUAAAAGGCAGCAGAACAGAACAAAGAACUCAUUAGACUACAGAGAUUAACACAGCA